rnacentral:rRNA from 1 species
UACGAAGGGUGCAAACGUUGCUCGGAAUCAUUGGGCGUAAAGCGCACGUAGGCGGCCCCAAAAGUUGGAUGUGAAAUCCCUCGGCUCAACCGAGGACGUGCAUCCAAAACUGUGGGGCUUGAGUACUGAAGAGGAUCGCGGAAUUCCCGGUGUAGAGGUGAAAUUCGUAGAUAUCGGGAGGAACACCAGUGGCGAAGGCGGCGAUCUGGACGGUAACUGACGCUGAGACGCGAAAGCGUGGGGAGCAAACAGG